AAAGUCGUAACAAGGUUUCCGUAGGUGAACCUGCGGAAGGAUCAUUAUCAAAUAUCCAAUUUAUUGGCUUAAUACCCAAUAUAUGCACCUGUGAAUUUUACCGUCUCCGACAGUGCGUCUUUUUGUGAAUGUCAAAGUUCCAAGGGGAAGUGCUGUUGGUUUAUUUUCUUUUUAUUUGUAAAUGUUUUUAUUUUGUCGUGAAUUAUUCUUGUAAAUGAAUAUAAUUGAGUAACAACUUUUGACAACGGAUCUCUUGGUUCUC
rnacentral:misc_RNA from 1 species